AUGUAUGACUAAGAGUAAAGGAAGA
rnacentral:piRNA from 1 species